rnacentral:rRNA from 1 species
UACGCAGGGUGCAAACGUUGCUCGGAAUCAUUGGGCGUAAAGCGCACGUAGGCGGCGAAGCAAGUUGGGUGUGAAAGCCCUGGGCUCAACCCAGGAAGUGCAUUCAAAACUGCUUCGCUUGAAUCUCGGAGGGGGUCAGAGAAUUCCCGGUGUAGAGGUGAAAUUCGUAGAUAUCGGGAGGAAUACCAGUGGCGAAGGCGCUGACCUGGACGAAGAUUGACGCUGAGGUGCGAAAGCGCGGGGAGCAAACAGG